CAAUCUUAGGCAAUUAUGUGUUUUCUGUGAAAAUUCAAAUAUAUAAGCAUUUUAAUCACACCUCUAAAAUAUAUUUGUUGUCUUUUGCAGUUUGAUCAGCAUUAACAAGCACCUUGGGGAAACCUCUUAUUUAUGGUUAUGCAUGUGGCAGUGCAAACACUGCAGUUUGGAACUAGCUAGCAGAUUAAAAGGUGUUCCAUAACGGCAGGUCGGGCGCUUCUGCGCAUCAUCUUUGCCGACCAGUCUGACUCUAGACAACUGACCCUGGAUUCGGGAAUCCCAGCAACAGUUGAAGAACUGCACACAUUUGUCAAGACAUCUCUUCAAUUG